UGCACUGGAGUGUGGCUCCGCCAAUAAAUGUCCACACCUUUUCCGGCUUUUAAGCCAAUCAGCGAUGCGCCCUGCGUGAACACGGGGUUUGAAAUGUGGAGAGACUCGGCUAAGCUAGACGACAAAGAAAGUUAACCUGGUUUUGUUCUGCACUACUUCCUGUCCAACACAGAGGACCCAUGCCAGCGGCUAUGGCGAAUGAUACCGCGUGGAUGACGACGUGGAAUAUGGACACAAAUCCCAGCAACAGAUGCUGUGGUGUAGAUGUCAUGGAAGGUCCUCUUCGCCUUCUCCCAGGCAGAACUCCAAGCUCCAUGACCUGAUGACAUGAGCUCCCUCAUUCCUUAAGUCUGAAGAUUGGACAGCUUAUGCUUACAUGAGAUGACCCAAAUAUAUCCUGCCAGCAAAAGUAGGUGGAGGAAGUCCGACCCCAAAACUGCUUAAUACCAGUACACUCUGCCAGCCCCACAGCAGCAGACACUGCAGUCACUGGUACAGCUCUUUGUGGACCUUCACUAGUUGUGCACAUCACCAGUCACUGAUCCCUGAGCUGCUGCAGAAUGACCUACAUUGACCCGAUGUUACCCAAUGCUGAAAAACGAUUUCCAGUAGUGAAUUCUCUAAGAAUCCAAACCCAUCCCUUCUUAUUUGAUGAUUGAAACAUCAGCUUGCAGCCUUGUGCACAGUGAGGAGUCGGACAAGAUUUUGCAUCAGAAGAAAUAUCCAAAGUGGUGGAGAGCAUCAUGACCAACCUCGGAAGAUCUGUGUCAUUGGCUUAACUUCAACAUUUUCCUUCACUCUUACUACAGCAACAAUCAUCCAGGCAAAUACUGUAAUAAAAUGGCACAAACUUGUAUCAUA